rnacentral:misc_RNA from 1 species
CUUCAUUCUCAACACAAUCAAUAAAACCGUGUGGUAAGCUAAGACUCGUCAGUUCUUGAAAGGGAAGAAACAAAGAGGCAUUGAAGUACCUAUCUGUUACAUACCAACCAUAGCUCCAAAUAGUGAGUUGGGAAACUCGUCCUGUGGUGGAGUUGCAGUGAAUGUUUUCUCAUUUACAACAGUCAUCAGUGUCUAUACCCCAAGAAGAGAGUGAUCUAUCAAGAGGAUUAUUGAAAGAAGCCUUGAGUUGUAAAAGAGCAUUUCUCUCAUCAUCCAAACAACCAUCACAGCUUCACCAUCCCUCUAAUAAUGAAGCU